rnacentral:piRNA from 1 species
UACAUGCUGCAUGACUGACCUGC